CCCCCCUCCCCCCCCCAACCCCCCGGUAAUUUUCCAAGCGCUUCCCGGUUCAGGAUCCGCGGGGCCAUGGGAGACAAAGGCACCCGGGUCUUCAAGAAGGCGAGUCCCAACGGGAAGCUCACUGUCUACCUGGGCAAGAGGGACUUCGUGGACCACAUCGAUGUGGUGGACCCCGUGGAUGGAGUGGUUCUGGUGGAUCCCGAAUACCUGAAGGAGCGCAAAGUCUUUGUGACCUUGACCUGCGCUUUCCGCUAUGGCCGUGAGGACCUCGAUGUCCUGGGAUUGACCUUCCGGAAGGACCUCUUUGUGGCCAACGCUCAGGCGUUCCCCCCCGUCCCCGAGGAGAAGAAAGCGCUGACGCGGCUCCAGGAGCGCCUCCUCAAGAAACUCGGGGACAACGCCUUCCCCUUCACCUUCGAGCUGCCGCGCAGUUUGCCGUGCUCGGUGACACUGCAGCCGGGACCCGAGGACACGGGCAAGGCCUGCGGGGUUGACUACGAGGUCAAAGCCUUCUGCGCUGAGAACCUCGAGGAGAAGAUCCACAAGAGGAACUCCGUCCGUUUGGUGAUCCGUAAGGUCCAAUACGCCCCGGAACGGCCCGGACCUCAACCCAUGGCCGAGACCACCCGGCAGUUCCUCAUGUCCGACAAACCGCUCCACCUCGAGGCCUCCCUGGACAAGGAGAUCUACUACCACGGAGAACCCAUCAGCGUCAACGUCCACGUCACCAACAACACCAACAAAACGGUGAAGAAGAUCAAGAUCUCGGUGCGUCAGUACGCGGACAUCUGCCUCUUCAACACCGCCCAAUACAAAUGUCCGGUGGCCGUGGAGGACGCCGACGAUGUGGUGGCCCCGAGCUCGACCUUCUGCAAGGUCUACACCCUCACGCCCUUCUUGGCCAACAACCGGGAGAAGCGCGGGCUGGCGCUGGACGGCAAACUCAAGCACGAGGACACCAACUUGGCCUCCAGCACGCUGUUGAGGGAUGGAGCCAACAAGGAGAUCUUGGGCAUCAUCGUCUCCUAUAAGGUGAAGGUGAAGCUGGUGGUGUCCCGAGGAGGCCUCCUGGGAGACCUCGCGUCCAGUGACGUUGCGGUGGAGUUGCCCUUCACGUUGAUGCACCCCAAACCCAAAGAGGAACCGCCCCACCGCGACGCUCCGGAGAACGACGCUCCCAUCGACACCAACCUCAUCGAGUUGGACACCAAUGACGACGACAUCGUCUUCGAGGACUUUGCGCGCCAACGCCUCAAAGGUGUGAAGGACGACAAAGAGGAUGAGGACGAACGCACCCAUUCGCCGCAGCUCAACGACAGAUAAAGCCGUCCAUUCCCCUCCAUUCCCCUCCAUUCCCCUCCAUUCCCAUCCAUCCCAUCCCUCUCCGCCGUCCCCGCGGCCCUUCCCUCCCUCCCAACAGUCGCCUCGAUCCUUCCUUCCCACUCCAUCAUCUCCGGCGCCGACUCCGAUGCGCUACGGACCCUCUUCCCGGCGUCCUCCGUGGCUCCGUUGGGGGAAUUUUCCCAUCCGGAGACGGCGCCGAUGGAGAAGGAUUCGGAGCGGGAGAGGCGGUGGUGGUGGUAACGGCGCGGUUCGGCAGUCGCCGGCGCGGUGUGCGGUAUUCCAGAGGCUCCGGGAUCCAUGGGAGGGACGGGAACCACCGGAACCGCCUGACGGCUCCGUCCGGACACCCCAAGAACCCCCAUCUCACCCCAAAAAGGAGGUUCCAAACACCCAUCUCGGUCCUGGGGGACCUCAAGAACCCCCAUCUCAGUUCUGAGGGACCCCAAGAACCCCCAUCUCAGUCCUGGGGGACCCCAAGAACCUUCAUCCCACCCCAAAAGGAGGUUCCAAACCCCCAUCUGAGUCCUGGGGGACCCCAAGAACCUUCAUCCCACCCCAAAAGGAGGUUCCAAACCCCC